rnacentral:rRNA from 1 species
UACGGGGGGGGCAAGCGUUGUUCGGAAUUACUGGGCGUAAAGGGCUUGUAGGCGGCUUGCUAAGUCAGACGUGAAAUCCCUCAGCUUAACUGGGGAACUGCGUCUGAGACUGGCAAGCUUGAGUGCAGGAGAGGAACGCGGAAUUCCAGGUGUAGCGGUGAAAUGCGUAGAUAUCUGGAGGAACACCGGUGGCGAAGGCGGUUCUCUGGGCCUUACCUGACACUGAGGAGCGAAAGCGUGGGGAGCGAACAGG